ensembl:lncRNA
CCUGAAGUGGGUUGUAGCCAUAAUUAUGGUUUUACGUCCACCACAGAGAGUGUGGGUGGGGAUGCUGCUAGCAUUAGUGGUGGUGGUGGAGCUUCCCGGGGCCUUGCAGAAGUGCAUCUUUGAUGAGGUUCAGGCUCAGGUCAGAGUGGUCAGAGCUGCACCCACAGAGCCCAGACUCAGAGCACCGACCGGGCAAAAGCACCUGAUAACCUCUGGACAACAAACUAGUCACCGAGGACAGUCAGUAAAACGGAGGAGCAUCCUGAGAGAAUUAGCCCCGCCUACUCUUGCCACUCCACAGCCAAUCAGGAUCCAGACUUGGGUUCCAAGAGAGAGUUGCGACCUAUCAGAGACUGAGAAAGGAAGGCUGGAGGCUGCAGUGGAGGAGGCUGUGAAGGUGGUGUCUUCUUUACUGUCAGUGAACAGAGUGCUGGGCCCGUUGUUGCUUAGCAGAGACAUCAACAAAUACUGCAAGUUCCUUUGGAGGAAUUCAAGCGCUGCCAACUACAACAGGUGUGGAAGAGCCAACAGCAACUAUAGAACUGAGACUUGUCUAGAUGUGACAAUCCCAGAUGAUCACUUGGCAGGAU